rnacentral:rRNA from 1 species
AGUGAACGCUGGCGGUAGGCCUAACACAUGCAAGUCGAACGGCAGCACAGUAAGAGCUUGCUCUUACGGGUGGCGAGUGGCGGACGGGUGAGGAAUACAUCGGAAUCUACUUUUUCGUGGGGGAUAACGUAGGGGAACUUACGCUAAUACCGCAUACGACCUACGGGUGAAAGCAGGGGAUCUUCGGACCUUGCGCGAUUGAAUGAGCCGAUGUCGGAUUAGCUAGUUGGCGGGGUAAAGGCCCACCAAGGCGACGAUCCGUAGCUGGUCUGAGAGGAUGAUCAGCCACACUGGAACUGAGACACGGUCCAGACUCCUACGGGAGGCAGCAGUGGGGAAUAUUGGACAAUGGGCGCAAGCCUGGUCCAGCCAUACCGCGUGGGUGAAGAAGGCCUUCGGGUUGUAAAGCCCUUUUGUUGGGAAAGAAAAGCAGCAGGUUAAUACCCCGCUGUUCUGACGGUACCCAAAGAAUAAGCACCGGCUAACUUCGU